CCCCACCCAUGCACGCGUUCGACAGAUAAAAAACCCCACCCCCGAUUCGAGCAACCGCUCUUCCCACCGAUGGAUCCGCCGCCUCCCCGCCGCUGGCCCGCAUCCUCCGCCACGCCAUCCUCCGCCGCGCCGUCCUCACCGCACACUGGCCUGCCUCCUCUCCGCCGCGCCUCCUCCCCGCGUUGUCCGAGUCGUCCGCGCGCUAUUCGGCGACGCCGAGGCACAGGCCGCCGCACUCCGGGCCGUGCCGGCCGGCUCGAGCGCACGCCGCCGACCGCGACCGGCUGCUCAACACGCUCCUCUCCGCCGCGGGCAACGGCCGGGAGGAGGAGGAAACGCGGGAGGCGGGGCAGCAUCAGAAUCAUCGCGCGUCGGAUCCAGCUGAUGCUUACGGCGACACAGACGCGGAGGCUCUGGCCGCGGCCGCCGUGCUCCCUCCGGUCAUCACCUUCCCGCGAGCUCACUUCCACCCUAGCCUCUCCCCCUUUCCUCUUUGUUUUUUUAACUGAUUCCCAACUGCUUGAUCAAUCCUGCUCCUCUGCUCCUGCAGGAUGGCUUUCUCUGUUCAAUUGUUUAAUUUGGUUGUCUUUGUCUUACCUGAACUGCAAGGGAACCAAUUUAUGUCAGCAAGGAAGGAAGUGUCACUAUUAAGCUUCCAGCAGUCUACAUGAGGUGGCAACCAAUGAUUGGGUUCGGGAUCAAGCGGCGUAUCCCCCUUAUUAUGGAACAGACACCGAGGCUUUCCCUUCCUUAUGUACGCAAUUAUCACGUAAGUGCCAUACUCUUCAGAUUAACAUUAGGACUCUUGCUCGGCCUGUUUCAUCACACGUAGCGAGCAAAUUUUGAAGCCAGUCUUCACCAGUAUAACUGAAUGCCUCCUCUGAUGGUAGCAACCAAUAUUUCCUAAGUUCACCCCUCAAGGCUCUCGCGUACUUGCAGGUAACAUCCUAUCCUGGCCGUGCACGAGUAAGUUCACAGGUGAUAAAACUACGUUAGUGAUUUCUCUGUUUACUUUAUGACCAACUGUGAUAUCACCAACUGUGAUCUUGGGCCAUGCAACUUGGAACAUCAAGUAAUAACUUCUUACUUUUUUUAGAGAAACUUCUUACAGAAUUGCAUGUUGUUAUUUGCACUCUGUCACCUGGAGACCUACUAAUGCACAUUGGGUUCACGAUGAUCUUGGGGCAAGACUUUAGAUGGAUGACAAGCAGAUGCAGUUACUUGCCUAUUUUAUUUGUAUAAUAGGAUGUUGUUACUUGCCUUCGAGUGUGUCAUUGUGGCGAUGUGUUCUUUUUUCUCUAUUAAUUGCCAGAGAGGCAAAGAUAGUUCAAGUUUCUUUGAUUCUAUAUUUGAUGAGUUUGUCCUGGAAUUCUAAAUCAUGCAAGUAUUUUAUCUGCUUGCGAUAGUACUGUUUGAAAAACACAGACACUAUUCCAUCUGCAUGGGUCUGAUCUGCAGUUGACCUCUUUUGAUCAGCAUAUUCCGCAAUGAGCAACGAUAAUCUCAUUGUUGAUAUUCCCAAACUCCUCAACACAUGUCACCUACCCUGCUUCCUACUUUCAACUUCCAAUGUAUUUUGUGAUUGAGAUUGUGCACAUGAGCUAUUUGUGAGAAUGUCAGCAAACGAUGGAACUAGAUUAUGCACGGCUUUCCGUUGGCUGAAUGGCUCUCACAUGUUCUACUGCUGCAAAUUUGUGUCAUCAAGGGUACCUCCUUCAGGCGUUUUAAAUAUACUUUUGAUAUUGCAUAUUAUGAUGAUUUUAUAACAGUGUACCUGCAAUUAGUUUGUAAUCAUCAUUUUCUGUUGCCGAGGGGUGUUCUCCAUUGGUGAUGAUCCAACAACUGAUGCUUCAUUUCCGGAUUAACAAGAAAGGUCAAACUGACUAAAAAAUGUAAGGACAUCAGCAUCUUCUCUUUCUCUAUUAUGAGAGCAUACUGCAUACGAACAACCAAUAAUACCUUUCAUGAUUCAGGCUCCUGUUCUUUUUUACCCUCUGCAGUCCUGAAGGAAGAGGAUACACGACCUUUCCUGUAUUUUUAUCGGUGUCUCCAUUGUUGUACACACUUAGAUACGUCCCAAUAAUGGAAUAUAUUUUUGAGAAAGAUAUCUGUACCUACAAAGUACAUCUCUACAAAUAAUUCACUCAUUUUAAAUGAUACUUCAAUCUGCAUGUUGUUUGCAAAGCUCUAAUUUUAAUUUAUCAAGCCUUACUAUGCUUUAAAUUAUGCCAGUACUAUAUUUGAUGUGUGUCCAAGUUACCAGCUAUGGUAUUCAUCUUCUUUCUCCUUCUUUUGGUGGGUUUUAUUUUGAUGAGCAGAAACAGCCACCCUACCAUGUACUCAGGAAAGGAACAUGCUUGGUUCUUCUAUCUAUAUUGUUUCUGUAGCUUAUGUACUUCAGGUUUUCACUAUUAUAGUGUUGUGUCCCUUUUGAGGAAGCCAUGGAAACCAUGGUGUGCUUUGUGCACUACUACCUUAGUAGUUGGCCUUCAAAAAGGGACCAAGAUAUAUGUUCAUCGUAAUUGCUAAUAUUUUCUGAUUCUCUUUUGUUCUAUUUUCAGUCCAUAAACUGCAUUUCCAGUGGGAGAGGGACGUAUAAGUGCGAGAGGUACCCGUUCAUCCAACGUCCUCUGCGUUGUUUGCUCUGGCUGUGCGCGUGCGCGCAAUUUGUGGCUGCCGCUUCCUUGCCAUUUUCCUUAUUUUUGUACCUGAGAGAUAAAUAAGGAAGCAAGGAGAGGCUAAUUAACUGGUGGGACAGUCAGGUAACUGAACUAUAGUAGAGCCUCUUCAGUAAGAGAACAUAAAUUGAUCGUGCCAUAAAUCUACUUAUUGAUCUUUAUAGCCUGCACUACAGGCUGUAGAGUUAAGUUUGUACAUUUUGCGAAAUUGUAUUGUUCCAGCUCCUCUUAUUAUACACUUUAACUGUCAGGUUAUUUACUAUGUGCAGAUUUCCUUUUGGUACUCCCUCCGUCACGGUUUAGAAGGCGCGAUUGGAAAUUCUCUGGGACCUAGGCGGUUAUCUAUUGGUUGUGAGAUGGACUAAAAAAUAGCAUUCACGCUAAGCAUGCAUAUAGAAAUAGUAUAUCGGAGUACUAAUUAGCUAUUAGAAAUAAAUGCAAUGCGCCCUAAACCAUGUCUAUUGUGGAAACGCACGCAAAUUUAACUGUGCCUUCUAAACUGUGACGGAGGGAGUAUUGCUGAUCGUGCCAUAAAUUUACUUAUUGAUCUUUUUCCGGUUAUGCUAAUCUUACAUCCUUCUCUUAUUUGUGGGCCUAAUAAUUAUUCAAAAGGGAUGCUACAUGUUCCUAGAUGCACCAGAUCACUAAAUCUGGUCUGACUUGACCUUUGUCCCUCACUUCACUCAAGAUCAGAGACUUUAGUGGGAAGUUAGUUGGGGUAAUUUGUGAUCAAGCUUGACGUUCUUGCCUAUUUUGUUCUACUUUCAUUCGUAUUGCCAUGCCACGUAAUUUCCGUAGUAGCAUGGCCUUUCUUAUACAGAAUUUCAUAACACUCGUAUGUUUUUGAGGGAUAACACUGCAAUUUUAGAUAGGUUUUUUUUGUAGAAGUCUUAAACUGAAAUCCGAACAAACUUAUCUCCAAAGGCCAGCAUAAUGGUGCUUAAAAGAAAUGCUAAUCUGCACUCACAAUCCCUUGCGUUGGCAUGGUUCAAGGAUAGGUUCAGCGUGCCUGUUUGGGCCGGCACAUGUUUGAGCGGCCUGUUAUUAUUAUUUUUCCUUUUUUGUUUUCUUUAUUUUCUCCUUUAAAUAAUCUGGUACUUUUAAAAAAUAAAAAUUAGAAAAAAGGGAAAUUUUAAAUAAAAUGUUCAAUAAAUCAUAAAAUAUUUAUGAAUUCAAAAAAUGUUUGUAUUUUUUAAAGUCGCGUAUUCAAAAAAUAUUCAGAAUUCUGGAAACAAAUAUUUGGGAAAUAAAAAAUUCAUGUUUUUUUAAAAGUUCAUGUUUAAACAAAAUGUUUGUUAAAAUGCUUUUUUAGAAACACCUGUAACUUUGUUGAUCAUUACAAUUACAGGUACACUGAUUUGAACCUAAGAUCCAAGAAAAUAUAAAGUAACUCAUAUGACUAAGAAUUACCGUGAAAUCUCUUGUAAACACCUUCUUGGCGGUAGUAUUCUCUGCUCGAAAAAAUACUCCAAAGUCUUCGGUAAAGGGGCUACAAUUAAACUGGAACAAUGAUGUUAUCACUCUUUCACCCGCACGAACAUUAUCAAUAAUGGUUUUUGAGAGCUUGUCUUGAGUCGCCCAUCUAAACAGAUGAGAAGCCUUGAUCGAUGAAUGUACUUGGGCCGGGGAUGAUCCCCUAGAAGUGCAGGCCAUCAAAUCACUAUAUCUUCAUCAUGGCGCCGAUGAAAGAUUUCACCUCCACAAAGAAUCAAACCAACAAAAAAAGCUUAACACAGUAGCAUAAACUCAUCAGAUCUGAAUAAUCGGAUCUCCGAGGACACAAAACUCUCUAACCUCAUGGCACUGCCAAGAGAAUGAGAGAAAGUUUAUUCUCACAAAACUAUGAUGAUCACUAGGCGUUGAUGAAGAAUAUAGAGGUCUUGAAGAUCCAAGGUCCAAGAUGGCGGCUAGAGGCGAGGGGCCAAAAUGUUAUAUGUGAAGCCGCAAAAUGUUGUCAUGGCCUUUGAAGAGUAUGAUUUUUUGGAGUGCCUGAGCCAGAUUGGACUUAGCUACUAUAAGAAGGAAGGGGCCUCGGUCGAUAUCUCCAUCAAAUCCCGUCGGCAUUGCAACUUUCGACGACACGUCCAAUGUCGCUGCCGAGUUCGCAGGCGGAAGAAGAACAUCCGUCGAGCCGUCCAAUGUCGCCUGCGGCGGCUACACGAGAGGUGCCAAAGGCGUCCGAUCGAACUCAGUUGGAGGCCAAACAAGUUCGGCUCUUGGACAUGCCACCAAUAACGCUCGAUGACACGAUGCGCAUACUUGAGGCAAUUUAGUUGCACGCCUUCAGUUACAAAAAAAGUAACAAGAGUUGUUGAAAAUACGAAUGGGUCAUCAAUGGUCGCAGAACAGGAGAGCAAUUUCAAUGGACAAUGGAAACAUGAGUAAAAGAAGCAACUAAACGGAGGCCGCUCGCCCAGAGUGUCUCGGAGGAGGAUGUCACUUCCGCUGGAUUGGUGGAUGACUACUUCUUGGUGGUGUAUGGAUGUCGCACUGUAUGGAUCUUGAACUGUAGUUGGAUAGUUCCUGGCCUCAUUCCAGGAGGCUGAUUGGAGCCUGCCAGCUGCAAUGAAGUCCUCCAUAGAGAAGGAUUUGCAGAAAAUGAUCUUGGCAUCCUAGAUAAGCAGGUCGGGGUCAAAGCCGGUGCCCAGGGGGAUCAAUGGAUCACCAACACGAGAAACUGAAAUGGCAGGACCAGAAAAGAUGGUCCCAGAUCUCACUGCAGCCGGAUGUGCAAGAACACAUCAAUGAUCAUCUGUGAGACUGUGACACUGAAAUUUUGUCGAUGGAGCAUUAUCUCUACUAUUUAGCUUCUAGAGUCAAUGACUUGUACGUCCAACUAUAACAGCUAGCAGCAUGGUUUAUUCCCUUCUGGUUGUACGUACAAUGACUUUGUAAACCAAUGCUGCAAGUGUUUGUUGGGACAAGCCCAAAUAGUGUUCCAAUUUUUACGAAAACUAGUUAGCAUGCACGUGCAACGCACGUCUCAAACAAUUAUCAUAUAAGUUCACAUAGUAUAUUAUUGAAACAAGUCUUGAAAAAAAAAAUCAAAGGAAUACAAAA